GUCGGAGUUCGCAACCCUCCACUGGCUGCCCUUUUCCACCGGUUAUGAGCAUCCCGUAAGAUGCCUUUAAUAGGUGCUUCUUAGUCGAGAACUAGCUGCUUUCUGUCCUGUGCGUACCUUAUCUAUCCCACAGUUCUGUGAAAUUCUGCCUGUCCUUUCCUUCGGAUCUUAGCGUCCUGGCCUUGAGACCUGGAACCGUGUCUUCAAUACUGAUAGCAAUGUUCGUUCCCUCAGUAGAGUAGCCCAAUAAGCUUUUAACUGUGAUAAAAUGUGUUCUUGACCAUAGUUCAUUUCCUCUUUAAUACGUAUUCUUCUGGCACUCAGUGCUGGGGUUACAAGGAUGACUGAGCAGCCUAGCUAUUUGGAGGACCUUUCUGGUGUACAAUCUGAUUGUGUGUAGGGCCCUUAAUAAUUUUAGCCAACUUUGAUAACCUUGUCAAUUCUUGAUUUCAGGCAACAGAAACCAGCUGAUUUCAGAAAGGAGAAUGGGGAGGGGUGUUGGAAGGCUGUUAGAGAGCUCAUGGAUUCACCUGAAAGAUUGAGUAAACAGGUGGACUACUGUGUGUGUGUGUGUGUGUGUGUGUGUGUGUGUGUGUGUGUGUGUGUGUGUGUGUGUGUAUACACAACCAGCAUUACAGGAGAGGGCCAUCCCUGCUCUGGAAACUGGCCACACCUUUCCUCAACUAGUAAGCACAAUAUGGAACUGACUCCUGACUGCUGCUUUGCCACAGUUCUGCAAUUCCUGAAGCCUAGAGUGGAGUCCCUAAUGAUCUUAAACACCAGCACUAAUUGAGAGCCCCUGCGAGGUGCCCUGAUUGGCUAAAUCUCACCAUGAAUCCACGUCCUUACUUAGCAAGCAAGAUGAUCUGAUAACUAGCUCCUAGCCUUUCAAGUUUCAGAAGUGGGAGUCACGCUCUGUACUCUAUCUAAAACUCCAAAGAGUGUAGGAUUGGAGUUCAAGUACGUGAAGUACAGGAAAGAAAUACCACAUAAAUGAUAAAUUAUAGCUGUGGUUAGCCUUAAAAGAGGACUUGCAAGGUGCAACAGAAUAUAUGACCAGAGGACCUGACCUAGGUGCUCAGGAAAGCCUUCCUGGAUAUAACUUUUAAGCUGAGACCUGAAGGGAGAUGAGGAGAGCAAAAAACUGUCAGGGAGGGUAGCUUGUUCAAAGGACAGGAGAUAAAGGAAGUGGUUGGAGUCUACAGGGAGAUGUGGCAUGAGGGCUGGAAAGAUAAGAAAGUGUCAUAUCCUAACAUGACCACAGAGAACUUUGGACAGUCUGUUGCAUGCUGUGAGUGGAGUGUCUUACAGGAUGAAAGCAGACGAUGAGAUUUAUGUAUUUGAAAGCUCAUUCUGGUUACUCUGCAAAUAGGGCAAGUUAUUGGAAGCCCAGUUACGAUCUUGCCACAUUCAUGUCAGAGAUAAUGCCACCAUGAUCUAAUAGGGUGGUGACAGGGAAGGUAGAGUAAUACUCAGAAGAUAACAUCAUAAGGCUUGAUGAUUGUGUGUCUGUGUCUGUGUGUGUAGGGAAGGUAUAUCAAAUAUGACACAGUUUUUGAACAACCAAGUAGGUGAUGGUGAUAAUGUUCACAGAGGAGAAUCAGGUUUGGCGGUAAAAAUUAUAAACUAACUUUGUACUAAAUUAAGUUUAAGAUGCUUUCCAGACAAGCACAUGAACAGUAAAUAUUUGUGAACAUUGGCAAAGAGAUGAAGAGAUCAGCCCUAACUGUGUGCUCGUCCCAGAUCUAAGAGCUUUUGAGCCUCAGAAUAGAGAUGUGGGAUGGUUUUAAAGGUAGCUGAAGCAUCCGAUGGUAUUGGAAGCUGCUGGAGGUAGUGGGACUAUUCUGGGCACCUGGAUAAAUUCAAAAAAGGCCUAAGCUGAAUCCCAAGAAACCCAGACAUUUCAAAAUGGGGAGUAGAGGUGGGAUUGGCAGAGAUGAGGAGAUCAGGUCAACCCUAAAUCAGAAGAAAGAGCUGAUCUGGACUGGUAGCUACCUACGUUACACACGAGCAUUGAGCCAUUGAAGCGGACGGAAUGACACAGCCUGCUGCCUUUAGCAGGAGGCUGCCAGUCUCUGGUGUGGAUUUGAUCAGAUCUCCUGAUACUGGAAUAUCCAGUUUGCUGCGUGAAGCGCCUUGUCGUGUGGAUCAGUGUUUUCCCUGAAGUAUCAACCAAGGUUUCUGAGCAAACAUAGGUGACAGGAAUAAUAUCCACCAGAAGGGACUGACAACACUGUCAUUGAGCCCAUCCUUUUGUAUUUUGCUGCUGAGGAAACUAAGCCCUAGAGAGAUGGGAGGACAUCUUCCUAGACCACACAAGGCAAGGCCCCUCAGCCCUGAUUGCCCAUCAGUAAUGGCAGAAGCUAAAUUAGAAAGGUGUCUCUGUCGCUUGUUAGUUGUGAGAUCUUAGAGAAGAAGAGGCUUAAUCUUUCUAAGCUGUAGCAAAACAUUGGUCUGGGUAAAGUAAUAGCUACUGUGAUAGCACACAAUAAAUACUCAGUAAGUCUUAGCUGCUCUUAGGUUCCUGGAAAGAAAUUGGUACAGUUCAUGAAGAUUAAUGCUCACACACAUGCCAGACCCCUUAGGGCAAAUCCAGUGAUUUGCAGGUAAGAUACUCUACAGAUAUAAAAGUAUAUCAUAACCCCUGUGUAACCAUCAUUCAGCAAGUCUAAGUAGAAAUACAUGUGCAUUUAAGUAGACUGAGACGUCAUUUGCAGAGAGAAAGAAAGAAAAAGAGAGAGAAAGCAAGCAGUCUAGAGCUAUUGUGUGGUAUAUUGGGAUUUAAGGAUCUUUGUUUUUAAGGUUUUUGGUUUUUAUUUUUAAUGUUUAGAUGCCUGUAUGUUUAGAAUAAUCUUCAAUUUUAAAGGAAAAUAAGAAAGAAUCUAUAGUCUUACAGAUUUGGGCCUUGAUCUUUUUAUCUGUAUUUCCCACAGUUUUGUACACACAGAAACAAAAGUUUGUUGAAUGUUUUAUUUGCAUGGAGGCCAAUGCAAAUCAUUUGUAUUUUGAAGGAGGAAAUAUCAUGCCCAAAUAGAUAUUGAUCAUAUCGCUUUGGUUUCCUUUGCAGGACUUUAAGCUCGACUUCGGCAAUUUCCAAGGCAAAAUGAGUGAGAGGUGGCACGGAGGUAUAGCUACCAUUUUUCAAAGUCCUGGCGACGAAGUGUGGGGAGUGGUAUGGAGAAUGAACAAAAGCAAUAUAAGUUCCCUGGAUGAGUAGGUGGCUCCUAAUUAUCAGUUACAGUAAUAAGGGACACAAAGCGUGCUGUAUGGAUGUGCUUUGGGGAUACACUGUAGACAUACUCUUUAUUCUUCAGAGUCAGUACAAAAGUUAGAAACCAGGAGUUUCCUAACAAAUCUAGAAGGGGAGGGUCACACUUACUAAUUGGAUGGGUGCGGUGCUUGUCUCUCUUAGGUAAAAAAUAAAAGCCCUUAUUUUUUAGUUCUGUUUGUCUCUUAGUAAAAAUUAUCUUUCUGGUUUAUUGCAAAAACUUAUGAAACUUUUAAUUGUC
rnacentral:lncRNA from 1 species